rnacentral:pre_miRNA from 8 species
GUUUUGCCAUCCUUUCGUCUCCUCCUGGAAGCUGGUUUCAAGUGGUGUUUUAGAGUGCUGAUCAAAUGAAUCUAGCACCAUUUGAAAUCAGUGUUCUUGGGGUGAGAAAUGCAGCACUUUUUUUU